AUUGAACGCUGGCGGCAGGCUUAACACAUGCAAGUCGAGCGAGAGGCGGACGGGUGAGUAAUGUCUGGGAAACUGCCUGAUGGAGGGGGAUCACUACUGGAAACGGUAGCUAAUACCGCAUACCAUCGGCUAUGCCCAGAUGGGAUUGGGUAGGGGUUGGGGUAAUGGCUCACCUAGGCGACGAUCCGUAGCUGGUCUGAGAGGAUGACCAGCCACACUGGAACUGAGACACGGUCCAGACUCCUACGGGAGGCAGCAGUGGGGAAUAUUGCACAAUGGGCGAAAGCCUGAUGCAGCCAUGCCGCGUGUGUGAAGAAGGCCUUCGGGUUGUAAAGCACUUUCAGCGAGGAGGCGUUACUCGCAGAAGAAGCACCGGCUAACUCCGUGCCAGCAGCCGCGGUAAUAC
rnacentral:rRNA from 1 species